rnacentral:snRNA from 1 species
AGCUUUACACAGUGGCAGUAUCGUAGCCAAUGAGGUUUAUCGAGGUGCAAUUAUUGCUAAUUGAAAAAAUAAAAAAUAAAUUAAUUAAAAUUAAACACAAUAGCUGCUUCAAAGCA